rnacentral:rRNA from 1 species
UACGGGGGGGGCAAGCGUUGUUCGGAAUUACUGGGCGUAAAGGGCGCGUAGGCGGGAUGGCAAGUCGGUCGUGAAAUCCCUCGGCUCAACCGAGGAACGUCGAUCGAUACUGCUGUUCUUGAGGAUUGCAGAGGAGACUGGAAUUCCCGGUGUAGCGGUGAAAUGCGUAGAUAUCUGGAGGAACACCGGUGGCGAAGGCGGCAUCCUGGACCAACACUGACACUGAGGAGCGAAAGCCAGGGGAGCAAACGGG